AGAGUUGAUCAUGGCUCAGAUUGAACGCUGGCGGCGUGCUUAACACGAUGCAAGUCGCGACGUGAAAGGACUUCGGUCCGAGUAAAGCGGCGCACGGGUGAGUAACGCGUGGAUGAUCUACCCAUGAGUUGGGAAUAACGGCUGGAAACGGUCGCUAAUACCGAAUACGCUCCGAUUUCAACUUCGGGGGAAAGGUGGCCUCUGCUUGCAAGCUACUGCUCAUGGAUGAGUCCGCGUCCCAUUAGCUAGUUGGUGGGGUAACGGCCCACCAAGGCGACGAUGGGUAGCCGGUCUGAGAGGAUGACCGGCCACACUGGGACUGGAACACGGCCCAGACUCCUACGGGAGGCAGCAGUGGGGAAUAUUGCGCAAUGGGCGAAAGCCUGACGCAGCGACGCCGCGUGAGGGAUGAAGGUCCUCGGAUCGUAAACCUCUGUCAGGAGGGAAGAACCGCCACGGUGCUAAUCAGCCGUGGUCUGACGGUACCUCCAAAGGAAGCACCGGCUAACUCCGUGCCAGCCGCGGC
rnacentral:rRNA from 1 species